UACGUAGGGUGCAAGCGUUUGUCCGGAAUUAUUGGGCGUAAAGAGCUCGUAGGCGGUCUGUCGCGUCGGCUGUGAAAACUCGGGGCUCAACUCCGAGCUUGCAGUCGAUACGGGCAGGCUAGAGUUCGGCAGGGGGAGACUGGAAUUCCUGGUGUAGCGGUGAAAUGCGCAGAUAUCAGGAGGAACACCGGUGGCGAAGGCGGGUCUCUGGGCAACAACUGACGCUGAGGAGCGAAAGCGUGGGGAGCGAACAGG
rnacentral:rRNA from 1 species